GGCGACUCCUCGCGUGGCGUCACCUUGGUAAAUCCCCCAGGAUCGAAAGAUAGCAAGGGUAGCGAAGCUCUGACGGGUGCGCGGGGGGUCCCUUAU
rnacentral:SRP_RNA from 1 species